UCACCGCUCUAGCGCUGUGGAGGCUAAACUUCGAAACCGAAACCCCCUUUGCGAGAUUCGCCGCAUCUAUACCUGAUUUGCGUUCAAAAAUGCCUGCUUAAUUAUUCCAUAGUAGGACCAAACAUGCCUUAAGAAAAGGAGUACGUUUGAAACUGUAGGAACCAUAAAAAGUACGCCAGGUGAAUGCCUUUCUACUCCAGGAAGCCGCAGCAUACGCCUGAAGCAGGAAGAGGACGCGGUCAGUUUGAAAUAGCUGAAUCGAUGUCAUCCUGAAAGCAACAGUACAGUUAAGCUGGGCCAGUUCUGCAGAUGAUCAGAGGGACUUCGCCAUCAUCACAUGCCUCAUUGCUGCAGUCAGACUGAAACAGGACGGUGAUGCAUGGCAGUCCAUGCCCGAGAUACGGAUGAUGAAGAGACCACAGCAACAUCUGGUCCAGAUGAGGACACAAGGGCAGGUGGACUGAUGCAGGGUCUUGUUCAAUUCACUACAGGAGAACAGGAGUGGCCAAACUCAGUCCAGAACUGCUGCUGUCUUGCAGAGUUUACUUGAAGUUGACUCUAAACUCUGCAGGACACCAGCCGUCCAGAACUAAGUUUGGGCACCCCUGCAUUACAGCAUUUCCAGGAUGCUGCUGUGGACUUUUUUGCCCUCACCACACACACCAAUCUGCAGCUAUUUCAGAUCAUACAAAACAUUAAAAAAAAAAAUAAAAUAAAAAACAGUCAUUUUACUGCACAAUGUGUCAUUUGAUUUCUGUAGUGCUAGUAAUAAAAUUAUCCUACCUCUUAUUUUGAAUUCUUUUUUCCUCAAAUGUGUUAGUUCCCUUGUAUACAGGUUUAGCUCCAUCACAACACUU
rnacentral:lncRNA from 1 species